rnacentral:lncRNA from 1 species
CUAUAAACAAUGGACUGCGGGUUUAUUCAGCCAAGGACUUUUUUGUAAAAAUACCGCGGCGUAAAUUUCGACAGAAGCAAUAGCCUCUUUAUUAUUACUAGUACAUUGCCCGUGCGUUGCCACGGGGUACAAAUAUUCUACUGAUCCAACUUCAAUUGUAUUCUAGUGGUCCAACUCGAAUUGUGUGAAACAUACAUCUUUAUGAUCCUCAUGCACAUUAAGCAACAUUUGUUUUUCUCUACCGACUUCUUCGUCGUCGUCGUCCCCCUCUCCCUCUUCACCCACUACUGCAUCCCCACUCUAAGCUCACUACCACCAUUAGUGGCGCAUCCCGCUUAGAAUCAUCAAACCUUCCACAUCCACACAAUUAAUUUCGAAGGAUUAUUUUGCCGGUUUCUUCUCCUUUCAGAAUCGUCAAACAAUAAUAUUAACAU